rnacentral:rRNA from 1 species
AUUGAACGCUGGCGGCAGGCCUAACACAUGCAAGUCGAACGGUAACAGGAAGAAGCUUGCUUCUUUGCUGACGAGUGGCGGACGGGUGAGUAAUGUCUGGGAAACUGCCUGAUGGAGGGGGAUAACUACUGGAAACGGUAGCUAAUACCGCAUAACGUCGCAAGACCAAAGAGGGGGACCUUCGGGCCUCUUGCCAUCGGAUGUGCCCAGAUGGGAUUAGCUAGUAGGUGGGGUAACGGCUCACCUAGGCGACGAUCCCUAGCUGGUCUGAGAGGAUGACCAGCCACACUGGAACUGAGACACGGUCCAGACUCCUACGGGAAGCAGCAGUGGGGAAUAUUGCACAAUGGGCGCAAGCCUGAUGCAGCCAUGCCGCGUGUAUGAAGAAGGCCUUCGGGUUGUAAAGUACUUUCAGCGGGGAGGAAGGGAGUAAAGUUAAUACCUUUACUCAUUGACGUUACCCGCAGAAGAAGCACCGGCUAACUCCGUG